AAAAUACCCCACUGAGAAGUUACUUUGGAGCUCUAUUUUACAGAGAAGGAAGUUGUGACUCGGAGGUGACAUUCUACAAGCCACAAAGACACGCAAGCCUGAUGUCCUGGAAAAAUGUGGGAACCUGGAGAGAGGACCAUCCAUUCACUUGCCUGCUGUGAGUCUCACUUGUGGACUCUCUAAGGAAGGAACAACAUCAGAAGAGAAUGAUAAAUGACCAAAGCCAGACAGGGUCCCUGCACUGCAAGCUCCAAAUUAACUCUAGAGUGAACAGAUCUGCAAAGUUAAAAAAAAAAAAAAGAAAGAAAGAAAACAUGGGAAAAGGGCCUUCUGUUUAUUUUUUUUCCCCUUAUUAAUUUACCACAACCACUGUCCCACUGUCAAGUAUCCCAGUUUCUGUCUGAGAAGAGCAGCUGGCAGGGACAGUGAUCAAAAAGCAGUUGGAAAACCCCAAGAAAUUAUGGAACCCUCAUAAAAGAAUCAAAGGACAAUGUUUUUCAAACCACUUGAAAAACUAAAGCCUCCAUUCUGGUCAUACCAUUCAUUGUGUUUCUCGUGGUGUGUUAACUGCAAUGAAGGACAUGGGCAGUUGUGGAGAUUGGGGUAGAAUGUUUUCAGUGAAAUACCAGCCUCCUAAGUGACAAGAUUCACAGGAGCCUGUGCUUUAGCAUGAAAAUAAUGUCCUCAAUGUAUCUUAACUGAGAACCAGACAAGUAAUUUUUUAGUAGAACUUCAAACAAUUGUUUACAGUAGAGUAUAAAACAUACUGCAUAUUAAUUAUAUUCACACUCCUACUUGAGCUACACCAGUUGUCAGCGUUGACUAUAUAUUUUCUACAUAUUUUAUAAUUAAUAAUAAUAAUUCUUUUUGGGAAGGUUUAGCCAAUAGAAGGGAGAUGGGGUGGUGGUUAAGUACCUCAGGAUUGCAACUUGAGAGUGAAUGGCAAGGAAACCACUUAAUCUUUAAAACACACACACACACACACACACACUGUAUUUCAAAAUCUUCACUAGGUAUUUGAGGUGGUUUUUUACUAGUGUUUUGAAAUAGUGACUGUGACUCAAGAAAGGCUAGAAGAUGCCACAUCCAUUCAUAUUUUUCUGCUAGGAUUCUUAUGGCUUCUAGUUGUGGUGAACCAACCUCAUUCUACCAGUCAUACAAGCUUACUAUGACUUGUCAGCUUUUCCAUUCCCUGGUCACUUAAGUUAAGUGUAUCCAUUUAUUUACUUCUCUCCAAUAUUGCCAAAAUCUACAGUGAGGAAAAACAUUAUCUGAGCCAUUAUAUGUUGAACCAUUAUUAGGAAAUAUUUGGCAUUUAUGUAUAAAUAGUUUCAGUUGUAGAACAAAAAGC
rnacentral:lncRNA from 10 species